AUUUUUCACAUUACAUUCGGUUUCGAUAAUAACCUUCUACCGCUCACUUAUCGCUCACUUGGCACUCACUUUAGCUCUCAUAGGAUAAAGACGGUUAUUUUAAUAAACAUUACAAAACACCCAAAAACAAAAUCAGCGGUUUUCAUUCAGCAGAAAAAUCCGAAGCUAAAUCCGUACGAAAAUAAAGCGAAAAACGCUAAAUGUACACGACGCGACGAACCUCGCAAGGUCCGUUCAUCAUCCGCGUUAACGUUCGACUGUUGAGCGCGGUACGGCUACUAGCAAAACCCCGACCUCUGAGUGUGUGUGUGUGAGCUUGUCGUUCCCACAGAGUGUGUCGCGCGCGCAUUGCCGCCAGGCGCACAUUUUGCACGCCAGCGGCCGCGCACGCUUUUUUUAAUCCUACAAUGGAGACGCCCGUGUACGGUCGAGUGUGAUGACAACAACAAGCAACGAUAAAGCGCGGCCCUUUUCCGCGAGAGAAGAAACCCCCCCCCCCCCACGUCGCACGUUUGCCGCGUCUGUGAACGACAGUUUCUUCGUCCAUCGAGAGCGCGCGCACGGGAGAGAAUUAUAGUCGACGCCGUGUGAGCAAAACCGUCCGUGUGCGUCAGGCUUAAGCUACUUCGGGCGAUGACGGCGAUGACAGGCGUUGGUGGCUAAAAUGACGUCAUCACUCCAUACAAACCCAGACGUCAAACUAGAUACAGAACUGGAUUCGACCAACCUAUUGUAGCAAAACCCUGUAGCAGAUACAAUUCUAUGUUAAAGUCAUACUGAUUGACAGCUAAUGUCAAUCUCUUGCAUCCCGAUAGAUGACGUUGCAUCAUUAAAACAAAGUGUCGAAUUGUCAGAAGACAGCUUGGCUGGACUGGGCUGGACUGUGGCCUGGAGUGUAUGUUUGUGAGUGUAGUUGCUGUCACAGAUGCCCCCCCCCCUCCCCCCUGCUACUACUUACA